rnacentral:misc_RNA from 1 species
CCGAGUUUACAACUCCCAAACCCCUGUGAACAUACCUUACGUUGCCUCGGCGGAUCAGCCCGCGCCCGUAAAACGGGACGGCCCGCCAGAGGAACCCUAAACUCUGUUUCUAUAGUGGAACUUCUGAGUAUAAAACCAUAAUAAAUCA